CACGUAGGGGACGAGCGUUGUCCGGAUUCAUUGGGCGUAAAGCGCGCGUAGGCGGCUCGGAAAGUCGGUCGUGAAAUGCCGGGGCUCAACCCCGGGACUGCGUCCGAUACUUCCGGGCUGGAGGUAGGUAGGGGAGAUCGGAAUUCCUGGUGUAGCGGUGAAAUGCGCAGAUAUCAGGAGGAACACCGGUGGCGAAGGCGGAUCUCUGGGCCUUACCUGACGCUGAGGAGCGAAAGCGUGGGUAGCGAACAGG
rnacentral:rRNA from 1 species